UGAGGAAUAUUGGUCAAUGGGCGAGAGCCUGAACCAGCCAAGUCGCGUGAAGGAAGACUGCCCGCAAGGGUUGUAAACUUCUUUUGUAUGGGAUUAAAGUCACCUACGUGUAGGUGUUUGCAGUUACCAUACGAAUAAGCAUCGGCUAACUCCGUGCCAGCAGCCGCGGUAAUACGGAGGAUGCGAGCGUUAUCCGGAAUUAUUGGGUUUAAAGGGAGCGUAGGCUGUUUGUUAAGCGUGUUGUGAAAUGUAGGAGCUCAACUUUUAGAUUGCAGCGCGAACUGGCAGACUUGAGUGCGCACAACGUAGGCGGAAUUCAUGGUGUAGCGGUGAAAUGCUUAGAUAUCAUGACGAACUCCGAUUGCGAAGGCAGCUUACGGGAGCGCAACUGACGCUAAAGCUCGAAGGUGCGGGUAUCGAACAGG
rnacentral:rRNA from 1 species